GUUUAUUGCCCUCAUUUCUUCUUUUAGGAUACAAAGGGAACCAUAAAGAAGAUCUGUGAGUUCCUAGGGAAAAACUUAGAACCAGAAGAGCUGGAUCCCGUUCUCAAGUACAGUUCCUUCCAAGCCAUGAAAGAAAACAACAUGUCCAAUUAUAGUCUCAUUAACGAAGAUGAGAUUACUAAUGGCUUGAAGCUCAUGAGAAAAGGCACAACUGGGGACUGGAAGAAUCACUUCACAGUAGCCCAAGAUGAAGCCUUCGAUAAAGUUUUCCAGGAGAAAAUGGCCGGAUUCCCUCCAGGGAUGUUCUCAUGGGAAUAAGUUUUCAAAACUUUUGAAAAUUAUAUGAACACUGAUGUUAAUGUUCCUGUUGCUCUAUAUCUUGAAUACCUGGAUAUGAUCAUAGAAUAAAUCCUGUUGUGGAAUUGUGA